GGAGAAUUACCCAAGAGGCUGAAGGGGCGGGCUUGGAAAGCUCGUAGGUUCCGAAAGGGGCGCUAGGGUUCAAAUCCCUAAUUCUCCGCCA
rnacentral:tRNA from 1 species